UUGCUUCCAUCUCGAGGUCCCACAUCGCUUGCACCUAGACAAUUCUUGAUCGCUGCCCUGAUAUAGCAUGUAGUCAUUCGGACAUGCAUUUAUCUUCUUGUACGCAAUGCCGAGCUUUCUUAUGAUCCUCUUGGCAUCGUGCAUAUUUCUUGGGAUAU